UAGGGAAUCUUCGGCAAUGGACGAAAGUCUGACCGAGCAACGCCGCGUGAGUGAAGAAGGUUUUCGGAUCGUAAAACUCUGUUGUUAGAGAAGAACAAGGACGUUAGUAACUGAACGUCCCCUGACGGUAUCUAACCAGAAAGCCACGGCUAACUACGUGCCAGCAGCCGCGGUAAUACGUAGGUGGCAAGCGUUGUCCGGAUUUAUUGGGCGUAAAGCGAGCGCAGGCGGUUUCUUAAGUCUGAUGUGAAAGCCCGCGGCUCAACCGGGGAGGGUCAUUUGAAACUGGGAGACUUGAGGGCAGAAGAGGAGAGUGUAAUUCCAUGUGUAGCGGUGAAAUGCGUAGAAAUAUGGAGGAACACCAGUGGCGAAGGUGGCUGUCUGGUCUGUAACUGACGCUGAGGAUCGAAAGCGUGGGGAGCAAACAGG
rnacentral:rRNA from 1 species